rnacentral:sRNA from 1 species
GGCUACUGACCACUGCUCCAUUCACUGCCCAGACCCAGUCUCCAGCUAACUGAAUAUUGCCUCCUCCUCCCCACCACUGCGUCUCACAGGGCCACCACCUGAGGACCAAAUGCUCUAACACAAAAGACUGUAGAGGAUAUUUUUGCAUUCGAACCAGCACAAUCUCUGAGCUCCAUGAGGCUCCAAAGGACCUGCAGACUGUGGCCCAGUCUAGAGAAUGUGCAUGGCAUGCACGGGCUCUGAGUUCAACCUCCAGCCUACAGGAGAGAGAGACUGGCUCUACAAUCUAAGCUGAAUGCCUGCCACCCCCAUGAGUCUCAAUGUCCCCUGCAUCAUACAAUGAAAAAAAGCCUGUGUUUCAGGACCCGGGGGUGACCACUGGCAAAGGGGAGAACAACAACACCUGGAUAAGGGAACCAACCCUAAGGCCAUAAUCAAGGAUUCCUGCAGAGCCUAGCCCACAGCCAGGUUAGCCAGGCCACAGCCCAGAGUCGGUGCCAACACCCUGGGGUCCUCCUCUGUGGAGUGCUGCGCAGCCGUGGGAAGCCAGGCUUUUAGAACGUCUAGAUGGCAUGAAGCUGGCAGUGGAAUCAGUGAAAAGAUCAUCUGAAGGGAGCAGAAGAGCGAGGCAAGCUAGGGCGUUGGCUGGCUGGGGAUUUGUCCUGACCCUACACACCCCACCCCCUCCGCCACACAUACGCACUCUCCCGGUCCCUCUCCCCACUUCCCUCCUGUUCGGGACUUGUAGCAGCCUGCUUCAGAGCCCAGAAAAAAAAAAAAAUGCUUGGAGUCAACCAGCUGAGCAUACCCAAGCUCGUGGCUUUGUCUCUCAGUGCUGCCCCCUCCAGACUCAGUUUCCCUUCCCGGGAAGGAAGCAUAAUCAUACCCUUGCCCCGGGACAAGUGAGAGUCCGUGGAAGAAACAACAAACCGUAUGGUGUGAAGGGGUGCCCUUUGGAGGCUUCUCCUGGAGCCCCCAGGCCCUGAAAAGCCAGAGCAAAGCCAAGCCAACAACUGCUUUAAAGGCAUUCAACUCCCCUUACAGCCCCGGGCAAAGUCAGGCAUGAAGGCGGGAUCAAGACCCCAACAGAAUUCCGUAAUGAACGCUCUGCUGUCUCAGUUUAUGAGAGAAUACAUAAGACGUGUAAUUGCUUUUGUAUUUCGGACACUCAUUAGAAGAAUAAUAAAUGUUAUUAUUUAUUAAUAUGGCAAUGAAUCAUUCGGUUUUUUAAAUUAAACAUUAAACCGCUAACAAAUUAAAUGUAAAUUAUUAGGCCCGCGGAUGAUGGAGAGGCUCCCGGGGGAGGGGGCAGCUCGCUGGCUGCGCAGAAGCACGCCGCAUGGCCCGGGACACAGCCGCAGGGCCGGGGUGAGUCGAGGACAAGGCGGCUCGUGGGCUCAGCCUGCCCCCUGCCGAUCAUCAGCAGAAGCGCAGCAGCCCCGAGCGCCCCAUCCGCCCAGCGCCGGACCGAUUCCUCUGGAUCCUUCUAGAAGCAACUACGCCACUGGCUGUCAGGCGCCUGCGCUCUUGUCCCGCAUGAAUUUUUGCUGCGCAGUCCUAGUGGGGGAGGGCUAUCUGGCUUGGAAAUGCGUGCUCCCUUGGAAGAAAAUCACCUCCCCUGCCCUCUGCAGCCUGAACCACAGUUCCUGGUACACUGUCGUGACUAAUAUUCAUCCCACUUGUAGGGAAAAAAGCACAGAGAUUCUCAGUGCCUAGCCGAGGUUGCACAGCCAGCAGCUGGUGGACUGGAAAUUGCAGUCCAGCUGUGCCCAACCCAAAGUCUGAGUUUAUCUUGUGUUGCUUGUUUACCUCUCAGGAGUUGGGGUCCCAGGCUGGUCUUCCGGAACCCAAAAAAGAGGCACCCGUGUGAAGAGCCAAGGGAGUUCUUUCCAACGGGCUAAACACCAAAUACCAAGUUAUCUAGUGCACAUAGCUGUCCAAUAAGGUAGGCACACGCCCACGCCCAUUUCCAAGAUGUGCAAGCUGAGGCAGAAAAAGACUGCAGCAGGCAAGAAAUUAGAACUAGUACCUGCCAACUCAAACUUGGCUCCUGAUCACUCCAUUCCUCGGGAGCAGUGGACAAUACUCCUGCCGACUCCUCGUGUGCCCACUCCCCUGUAUAAUACACACACACACACACACACACACACACACACACACACACACACACACACACACACUGGUCAGUACCCAUCCCUUAGAGGAGCACUAAGCUCAAAUCAUAUGAGUCCUUGUCGAUGUUUCCAGGGCGUUGGGGGCUUGGGGGGCGACUUCGGUGGGUCACAUACACAGACAGUGCUAUGGCGGCCCUCUGGGACCUCCAGUUUAUUCUUUAAGGUAGAUCUCAGGAAUUGAGCCACUCGAACCCUAGUCCCAAGCAGUAGGGCUUCUUGGAAAAAUACCAGACACUCACUGGGAGACAGACUUCUUGGGAAGGGGCUCACGGCCCACCCCAAACUGAGGGGGUUAGCACUCUGCUGUGAGUCCAAGCUGGCGGGACAGGAAAGUCCAGCCCAUGGGCAACCCUGGUUUCUGACAUUCCUCCCUUUCUAGGUAAGCCCUGGCAGCACUGCUAUGGGGUCCGAAAGCAGAAACACAGCCGGGGGUCCCGGGCCUCUGUUUGACUCCUUAACUGUGUGUGGUCUCUGCCCUGGGCUCCCUUAGCUCCCCACAAUAUCCUUCCUGCCUUGGUCAGUCUAAAUGGGUGCCUGCUAUCCAGAAAGCCACUCUCAUUCAGAUUAUCAGUUUCCCCCUCAAAUCAGGCACCAGCAAGCCCGGCUUAAGGACCCUACAUCAUCCGACAGAUUGAGCCACGUUUUGUUUCCCUUGGGUCUCCCCUGCCCCUCUGACGCCCACCCCUGGGAGAGGACGGUCCGGUGAAGGAAAAGUGAAGGAAGUCACUGCCUUUCUUUUGGCCCAAGCUGGGAACCACUGGAGGUUGAGUUGUGAAUUUGUUCCAGCUUUCCUCUGGACCCGGAUGUCCCACCUUAGCAGUGAGGUGCUACAAGGUACCCCAGUAGGAGUGUGCAGAAGGUGGGAGGGGCUGAGCCCAGGACCCAGUUCCAGGUCAGUUUGGGUCAGCAGCGUCGCCAUGCAGCGGGCGCCAGAAUGAGGCUUGUGCGUCUGCCUCCUGUCUGGGUCCUGCCCCAGGAGGGACUGACAGGGCUAUUAUUGCUGUCCUCGCGCAGGGCCACUCAGACACCAGCUAAUUUGUUUCAAUCGCGCCCCCUUCUUUAUUGAUCAGUGCUUUCGUAGGGUGUUGCGUUAAAUGACUUGUCACCAUAGCAACCAUCAGAUACUCCUGGGGACCGAUGAGUCUGUUUCCGGAGCCAGAUCGCCCCCUAAGAGCGCGAGGGAACAAAUCUCUUUUCAUAUCGUGGCUGUCUGCUGAAAGGUACAGGA